UACGGGGGGGGGCAAGCGUUGUUCGGAAUUACUGGGCGUAAAGAGCUCGUAGGCGGUGUGUCACGUCGGCCGUGAAAACCUGCAGCUUAACUGUGGGCGUGCAGUCGAUACGGGCAUCACUGGAGUUCGGCAGGGGAGACUGGAAUUCCUGGGUGUAGCGGUGAAAUGCGGCAGAUAUCAGGAGGAACACCCGGUGGGCGAAGGCGGAUCUCUGGGCCUUACCUGACGC
rnacentral:rRNA from 1 species